GACGAACCGUGCGAACGUUAUUCGGAAUCACUGGGCUUAAAGCGCGUGUAGGCGGGACGGCACGUCUGUCGCUGAAAUCCCCCGGCUUAACCGGGGAACUGGCGGAGAUACGACCGUCCUGGAGGGGCGUAGGGGGACCUAGAACUUCCGGUGGAGCGGUGAAAUGCGUUGAGAUCGGAAGGAACGCCCGUGGCGAAAGCGAGGUCCUGGACGCCUACUGACGCUGAGACGCGAAAGCCAGGGGAGCGAACGGG
rnacentral:rRNA from 1 species